rnacentral:rRNA from 1 species
UACGAAGGAGGCUAGCGUUGUUCGGAAUUACUGGGCGUAAAGCGUGCGCAGGCGGCUUCUCAAGUCAGGGGUGAAAGCCCAGAGCUCAACUCUGGAACUGCCUUUGAGACUGAGAGGCUUGAGUACGGGAGAGGUGAGUGGAAUUCCCAGUGUAGAGGUGAAAUUCGUAGAUAUUGGGAAGAACACCGGUGGCGAAGGCGGCUCACUGGCCCGAAACUGACGCUCAUGCACGACAGCGUGGGGAUCAAACAGG